rnacentral:rRNA from 1 species
GUAGGGAAUAUUGGGCAAUGGUCGGAAGACUGACCCAGCCAUGCCGCGUGCAGGAAGACGGCCCUCUGGGUUGUAAACUGCUUUUAUCUGGGAAGAAAAAGGCCAUGCGUGGCAAAUUGCCGGUACCAGAUGAAUAAGCACCGGCUAACUCCGUGCCAGCAGCCGCGGUAAUACGGAGGGUGCGAGCGUUGUCCGGAUUUAUUGGGUUUAAAGGGUGCGUAGGCGGCUGAUUAAGUCAGCGGUGAAAGACUUCGGCUUAACCGGAGCAGUGCCGUCGAUACUGGUUGGCUUGAGUGUCGGAGGGGUACAUGGAAUUGAUGGUGUAGCGGUGAAAUGCAUAGAUACCAUCAGGAACACCGAUAGCGAAGGCAUUGUACUGGCCGACAACUGACGCUGAUGCACGAAAGUGUGGGGAUCGAACAGGAUUAGAAACCCGAGUAGUCC